CUGGAAAGCUCGUCUCCUUUACGCCAACGUCGUAGCCUGGCAAGUGUCCGGCGUAUGCGUGUCUCACCAUUCACCUUCUCGAUUCCUCCUGGAUUUAUUUCUGUGCGUGUACGCGUCUUUGUUUUUUUUUUUCAAGGCCUCACCGUGCCCGCGUGCAUGCGCGUGUGCGCAGUUGCGUUCGGAGCAAGCAUCAGGUGAGUGAAGUACGACGGCACGCCGGUGAAGUCCUCCCAGCUCGCUGCACACGAACGGCCAGAGGCAUACGAAACAAGAAGGGGCGAAGAGACGCUCCAUCAUGGCUACGGAGUCCUCAUCGGUGCUUGUCGCCGUGCGUGUGCGCCCCUUCACGCCGAAGGAGGACUCUGCUUUCUGUACCAUUACCAUCCCAGAUAGUACCACAAUCUCUGUCCUAGACCUUCCGGCGCUCAUCCCGAGCUCCACGGCGAGCGGCCUCGUUGCCGGAGGGGUGUCUAGCAGCGCGAAUGGAAGCGACGGCGGUGUGUUGACCGCCUCCACGGCACUCGGGUCGGCAAACAGCAGCGGCGGUGUCUUGGUCGGGGGAAAAAGUGUUCACUUCAACUCCUCUGGCAGCCUUGAGGCACUGCAGCACUCGUACUCCUUCGACAAGAUCUUCUGGAGUGUGUCGCCAGCGGUGCUGCCCUUCCCUCCGCCGUCUGUGCUCGAUGCACUGGCUGGCGAUGACGACGCAGUCGGCGGUCCUGGCAGCGGAGGCGGGCGAGGGAUCAAAGUGCCGGGGCUGGCUCACCCCACCAAGGCGCAGCGCAGCCUCCUCACCCAGUGCAGUGCCAUCGCCAGGAAUCUUCCGUGCUUCGCGCAAGCGCCGACGUACGACGAUCAGCAGAGUGUGUACGAGUUUAUCGGGCCGCGCAUGUACGAGGCCGUCAUGUCCGGCUUCAACGCCUGCUUGUUCGCGUACGGCCAAACCGGCAGCGGCAAGAGCUACAGCAUGAUUGGCCCAACAGAUGCGCUCUCUGGCGCCACAGGUGCCAGUGCUUCAAGCAGCGGCAACUCCGGCCACAGCCCCCCACCAGCGCAGCGCGACAUCCUCACGGUGGAGAUGCCUGCGGAGCACGGCAUCAUGCCGCGUCUUUGCUCCGACCUGUUUCGUCUGAUGCGCGAGGAGCGCGAAAAGGACGAGGGUGUCACCUAUUCCGUGGAGCUGAGCUUCUUGGAGAUUUACUGCGAGAAGGUGCACGACCUCAUCGCCGCCGCCUCGUCGCUCACGGCGGCCAACAGCAACAGCACCUACGUUGGUACAUCCGCAUCGGCUAGCGCAUCGCUGCGCAUUCGGCAGCAUCCCUCCCGAGGGCCGUACGUAGAGGGACUCUCCCACGUCAAGGUGCGCGACGCGGGGAGCGUGAUCAAGUACCUCCUCAGCGGGCUGCGCGAGCGCGCGACCGCCGAGACGAAGAUGAACGAGCACAGCAGCCGCAGCCACGCCAUCUUGCAGCUUCACAUUACGAAAGUCCUGGCCGACACCGACGAGAGCACCGGCGGCGUCAUCACGCGCACGCGAAUGUGCAAGGUAAACAUGGUCGAUCUGGCUGGCAGCGAGCGCGUCUCACAGUCCGGCGUGUCGGGCGACCGCCUAGAAGAAGCCAAGAACAUCAACCUUUCCCUCUCCACCCUCGGCCGCGUUAUCCAGCAGCUUUCGGAGAAGCAAGCCGGCAAGAACGUCAUCCCUGCCUACCGCGACAGUGUGCUUACUUGGCUGCUCUCCGACAGCCUCGGUGGCAACAGCAAGACCAUCAUGCUCGCCACCGUCGCCCCGAGCGCGUAUUGCUACCAGCAGACCUUGAACACGCUGCGGUUCGCCGGCGUGGCGAAGAAAAUCGUGAACGUCGCGACGGUGAACGAGGACCGGCACUUCCAGGAGCUGAUCUCGGAACUGCGGCGGCAGAUUGUGCGGCUGACUUUGCAGCUCGAGAGCGGCAAGGCCGCGGAGGUGCACUUGGAGAAAAUCGAUGCUUUGAAGCGAGAGCGCGAAGCGCUGCUGACGGAGAAUGACGCGCUGAAGCUGAAGGUGGUCUCGACCACCGACACGGCGGUGCUGCAGGCGCUGCGGAAGCGUGUCAAGGACCUCGAGGCGGAAAACGCGCAGCUAGGUGAGGAGCUGCAAGGACUGCAGGAGCGCAUGCUGAUAAGCACCGGUGCCUUGCGCGACGAGCUGGCGCAGCAGCGCGCAGAGGCCAUGCAGCUGUACGAAAAGCUGAUGAAGCGGGAGGCGGAAGUGACGGGCUGGGCAAACCGCUACCGGGCUCUUGUCAUAUCCACCACAACGCCGAGCACGGUAGCUGCGAGCGCCGCGGGUGGCAUCGUCGCUGGCGGCGCCAAGGCAGCCGCGGCCACAGCAGACGCGAAGGAGGCGCUGCGCGCGCAACAGCAGCUGCAGGAGGAGCUCAAGCAGACUAGGGCGCAGCUGCAGAAGGCAACGCAAGACCUUUCCGCUGCCGAGCGCGCGACGCAGGAGGCGCUUGACGCGACGAGGUUGACGUCGACGCAACUGGAUGAGUACCGGGUGCGCUACGAGGAGAGCAAGCGGCAGCUGGAUCUGCUGCACGAGCGCAUGCAAAGCACCGUGAGCUUGCUGGAGACUACUCAGUGCGAGCUCAGCGCUGUCAAAUCGCACAGCAUGACCGAGUUCGCCAAGACCCGCCCCGCCGAGGACGCGCUAGAGGUGACCAACACGACCAACGUCACGGCCGCAGCGCAGCUGGAGCAGAUGCGAAACGGCUACCUAGAGGAGAAGCAACGCAACGUGCAGCUGCUGCUGCGGGUGGCGCAGGUAGAGCAGGAGCGGUCGGCGCUUAAGCGCGCUGUCACCCAGCGGGCAGCUGAGAUGUGCGAGCUGGAGCAACUGUUGCUGGAAGAGACGGAGACUUCGGAGCGCUACUACACGCGCAUGCGCUUUCACCGAUCCGAACACGAGCUGCAGCAUCAGUGGAUGGUGCAGCUGCUGCACCUGCGCAGCAUGGCCGACCGCCGCAGCGCGGACGGGAUGCGCUGGUCGGCCGCAGGCGCCAUGGGAGCCUUUCCUAGUCACCACCCUACCUUACGCCCAGGCGAGGGCGAAGGUAGCCGAGGCACACCAGAGGUGCCGUCGCAACGGCUCUACCGUGAUCCUAACUCCGCAAACGCCCCUCCGACGUCGGCCGCGCAUGAAGCCGUCACCAGCGAGCAACUGCUGCACAUGCAGCUCGCAUACGAGUGCCAGUGCGAGGAGCUGCAAGCACGCGCCGCGGUGGAGCAGGAAUGCGCCGCGGAACUUGCCAGCCUUCUCUCACAGAAGGCGCGCCUACGCCAAAUCGCUGCAGCUGAACUCUCUGAGAAGCUAGCCGAUGCCGAGGGCUUAAGGAAGACGCUGCGUGAGGAGCUGCACUACUACAAGCAGAAGGUUGAGACGCAGGAGAAGGAGUACGCGGAGGAGGUGGCGCAGCACCAGAGCGACAGCAACGCGCUGCAGAGCGCGGAGAUGGAGCGUAUGCGGUUGGAGCGGAAGGUUGGCGCACUCGAAGAGGCGAGCGCCGAGCUCGAGGCGGGCCGCAACUUGCUCAUCGCCAAGGUGGCGCAGUUGCAGGAUCAGCAGAGCAUGUGGCAAGCGCGGUGCGCCGAGGCGGAGCGCAUCUCUGCGGAGGUGCAAGAUCUUCUCUUCCCCGGCUCGUAUGGCACCUCCUCGAGCAGUCCGGCGAACAGGACUGGCGAAGGUGACGGCGAUAGUGAGGACCAGCUGCCGAAGCGCCGCAGCUGCUCAGCACUGCAGCUGGAGGCGGCAACGCUGACGAGCAAGGUACGGGACGCUCAGGACGCGAUGGAGGCGAAGGCGGCGCUGGAGCGGCAGUGCGAGGAGUACCGCGGCGAGCUUGGUGCACUGCGUGCGCAAGUGGAGCAAAUGAAGUCGCAGACGCAGGCGGCCCAGCAGCAGCGGGCUCGAAGCGACCGGGCUCAUCAGCAGGUCCAGACACGCUUCAGCGAGGCGAAUGCGCAGCUGCUGCAAGAGAUCAGCACCAUCACCCGCGACUACGAAUCACGUAUCAAGCAGCAGCAAGAGAUGAUGAACACGCUGCGGCACGCCUUGGAUGAGGAGACGUCUAUGGCAGACAUGUGCCGGCAGUCGGCGCAGCGCGCGGAGGCGGCGCGGCAGGCGCAAGAGGAGGAGCUCCUCGCCGCCCGAGAGGCGGCCGAGGAGCUGCGCCGCGAGCGAGAGACCACGACGAAACUGUAUCUUGAGGUGCAGGCAGAGCUGAACGAGCUACGGACGCACUACCACGCUCUUGAGCGACAACUCAUGGAGCUGCGCGAACGGGAACCAGAGCUCUACGUGUUGUUGGAAAAAGGCCUUGACGAAGACACGACAAGCUGGCUGGAGAAGGUACGCGGCGAGAAGCUGCGACUGCAGAACCAGCGGCACGAGGCGCGGCGGCUGAACUCUGAGCUGCUCGAGCAUGUGCAGGAUAGCAACACGCGGCUACGCGAUGUGCAGAAACGACUCGCUGACGUCUCCAUCGGUGGCGAUGAGCUGGAGGGGGACAAAGAAAUCCCUGGGAAUCAGCAGUGUCCACCACACACGCUCGCCGACGUCGACACGGCGGAGCUCGAGGGCACCCUCUGCGGCGCCACUGACGCCUGCCGACGCUGAGAGGACGAGAAGAAAGAGCACGAGCAACAGGAGUCCUUGCCUAUCUCUCCCCGACCCCUCGCCCUUACUGUGUGCAUGUCACCGUGGAUUUGCCCGGUCGCCUGACUUCUGCCCAGACCGAUGGCCCUCGCAUUGCCGAUGAAGAGCAGCCGUUGCGGGAAGAAUCAGUCGAACACGUUUGGCAUACAUUCCCAUGCACACUUGCUCGCCUGCUUGGCUUGCCUGUGGUCGGGGUCUUGUGCCCUCGCUACCCUCGUCCUCCCCGUCGCCCAAACCUCCCUGCGUCUGCGGCGGCUUUUUGGCCACUUGCAUGUUUUUUUUUUUUUCGGUAGAGGGGGUGUGAGCGCCGGAACGCUAAGGCAGCACCACCAUCAUUCCUCUACCCCCGCUUCCUCAUUGUGUGCGCCUGUGUGUGUAUGUCUCUCCCAGCCCGGCCGUGGCCGCGCCUAUUCGUACGUGGUAACAUGGUUGGUGCUGCGCGUGAGACGUAACAGGCUUAACUGUGUUUAGUUGUAUAUCUUGCAUCCCGCCGCUGCUGAUCUUUUCGCCUGUGUCCGGGUGUGACGCGCGUCUGUGCGGUUCGCAUCUCUUUGUCGCUGGUAUCAACGUGGGGCGCAUGCACCGCCGCUGCCUUGAACUCCACUGCCUCUGCUGCUGCGUGUGCGCGUGCCGUCCGUCUUUUCAUCUCCCUCCACUCCUCUUCUUCGCUUUGGUUCCAUUGGCGUGUGCGCUUGACGUGCGUUCCCCCCUCCCCCGCCCUUCUUUUUGUUUCUCUGUGUGCUUACACGCACCGACACAG
rnacentral:misc_RNA from 1 species